AAUACAUGUUUACAUAUUAGUGUGCUUCUUAUAAUAUGCGAAGUCUUUUUUGAGUAACAUGCGAUUUUGUAGAAAUUGAUGAUGAUGAUGACUUGGAAAUGCCUAUAUCCACAUUGAAGAAAGUGAACAACAACAAGAAAAGAAGGGUUGUAGAAGAAAAUUCUGAUGAUGAUGACUUCGUUGAGCCUGUACCAAAAAAGAAGAAACUGAAAGAGGGUGAGAAACUGAAACAAGCUAAGAAAUCUAAAAUACAAAAAAAAUAAUCCUUCCAAAAAAAAGAAAAGGGAAAAAAACGAGCCAACCUGAACCACCUAGAACACAACCUAGGCCUUUCUUUGAAUAUCACAACGAAGCAUUGCUGUUGAGAUGUCAACCUACACCGUACAUGGAAACUGUAAGAAAUUUUUCAAAAGAACAAGUUGCUGACGUGAAAAGUAUGGGCUUUGGGUCUAUUCUAGAUAUGAAUCUUAACCAUAUUUCAACACGUUUAGGAUUUUGGCCAGUUUGAAACUUUGAUGAGGAGUUUAAUGAGCUUAACAUAGGUAAUCAUCAAAUCAAAAUUACUUCGGAUUCAGUUUAUGAGGUCUUUGGAAUACCAAAAGGACCUAAGCAAGUUGUUACAGUUGUUGAUAAAAGAAAAGUUAAAAAAGUUGAAAAGAGUAAGGAACCCAAAGGUAGGGAUAGUAUUAUUGAUCAGUUCAUCAGUCAAUGGGCAACCAACGAGAGGAUUACUCAUGCCUUGAUUGCAUCAGCAAUUAACAACCAAAGAGAGGGAGGAAGCUUGUUUAAAAUCAAUUUCCUAGUAUACUGGAUGACAUUUUUUUGCGGAGACUACAAAAGCUACAAAUGCAAAUAAAAGAUGUUUGCUGGGAGUAGAAGCUGUUGAAGAUAUACCGCAUCUAGAUUGGUGCUCGUAUCUACUGGAGACAUUACGUCGGACUAGACAGGGGUGGAAAAACACAAAAAUACAAUACGUGGGACCUGUCGCCUUUCUUAUGAUCAAGAGCAGGGUCAUUCAACGGAGGAGUAUACAAUACCACCCGUUGACGCCACAAAAAGCUACAGAAAAAGAACUGCGCCUGCAAUAGAAAACGAAGAGGACCCUUGCGGGCACACAGAUGAUAUGCUUGAUUUCAGCAUUGACAUGCCGGAAACUUCGCAAUUGAACCUUGUGAUGGGAGUUGGAACACAGACACGGAAAAUGAUGGACUAUUGCAACACUCCUGUUCAACUUUCUCAUACUGUAAUAUACGGUUCCGAGCAGCAACAACGACAGACUUCGAACAUCAAUAAAUGGAAUCUGUUGAAACGAAUGACGAGCAAUAUCAAAAAAUACAAUGCACUUGUUCAAAUUGUUCAAGAAAUGAACAACUUGGUUUUGGAUGCAAAAACAAAGUGUUUUUAGGAUCCGAAAAUUAUGCAAGUGUGUAAGCGGUGAGAAGACACGCUUCGAAGUACAUCGGUUUGUAUGUCGCCUGAUUCGGUUCGAGAGCCUCAAUCUGCAGCUUGUGAUGUUGAUCAAGAAGAUAUUGCAAAUGAAGAAUGUAGAGGGAAUGUAGAAGUUCAAGAAGUCAUAGCCAAUGUUGUGGACAGUGUGAGACACAUGGAAUCAGAAGGACUACUGCAACCAGAUGAUGGAGGAGUAACAGAGACAGGUGAUGGGGGAGUAACAAACACCUUUAUUGCAAAACUACAAACUGUGGAACAUGGUGUAUACGUUUACAACUCACAAUUGCAGGAAAGUGGUGAAACUGCGAUGGAAGCAGCAGUGAAUUUAGCAGAAUCUACAUAACACCUUCCAGAAAAACUUCCAGAAAAACAUACCUCCAAGAUUCUAGGCCAAACAAUGAGCAUAAAUCUAAAACCGAAGUGGAAGCAGUUAAUUUAGCAGAUACUACACAGCAGGAACCACAAGAAAAGGAUUCGGAUAUCGAAAGUGAAAAAGAAAGAGACGUGGUAUGCCCUUUGGUACGGCUGAAGAAUUGCAAUCGAGUUACUUUUCAGCCUGGCACCCAACCUGGUAGUACACAAGGGAAGGAACCCAGGUAGGGGGGAAACAGGUCUCAAAUCCAGUUGAAAAACAACCACCUGCAAAACAAAAAGCGGGAAAAAGGGACGUGGAGAACAAAAAAAGGAGGAACCAAAGGGGUUAAAUGAAUUCCUUUAUAAAAAAAUAGAACUCGCAAAAACUCGAAAUGAGAAAAGGUAUGCGGACCUUGGGGAUGUGUUUUGUUCCCCUUUUUGCAACAGAGUGGUUAAUAUGCAUGAAGCAUUCCUAGAUCGUGAAUUGAGUGUGAUUAGAUACACAUUUGCUACGCUUAUGGGAAUGGAAUUAGUAUUUUACCGAUAAAAAACUGGGGUUUACACAUACAAAGCUAUCUUCGAAAGCUUCUAUAGAAAUCAAUAUGUGGCAUCAAACGGAAUCGAUGCAUUUGUGGAUGUGCUCAACCUUGAAGAGAAGAAGAGGGCUAGAAAAUCAUCAUCGUACAGACUCUUCUUGUAUAGUACAAUAUUGCCAGAUAUCAUGUACAAUGAUAACUGCAUCGACAACCAACGGCUAAACGUAUUUACCUCAAAUCUUGAAGACAUCUUACAGAAAUAUAAGUUAAAAAGUGGAUUAGUUGACCUCCUGUUUAUUCCAGUACUUCAAGGUGAUCAUUUCUAUUGCAUGUGCUUCCACAUGAAAACCGGUCAAGUUGAAUUGAUUGACAACUUAGCAAUUGAACAAGAGUUUAAAGAUAGAUACAAUGGGCUUCCAGACACCCUGAGAAGGGUACUGGUUUUAUACCUGCAAAAGGCCUUAAAACAACACCAGCUAUCAAACAACUUGAUGAAUCACCUAUAGAAAAAAAAGAGAUGGAGUGGAGAACUGUUACUAACAGUGUAGAUUGUGGAGUGUAUACAAUGCGACAUAUGGAUGUCACACCCCAACCGAUGGCGGAAUCAUCGGGGCGUGGCACUAGGCGAACCAGAUUACUCAAGAGAAUCCAUAACAACUAUUAAAUGACAAUAUUUAAAAGGUUCAUUAUCCCAUACCAAUAAACAAAUAUUUCAAAAACAGUCAUCACAGAGUUCACAUCUCUUAAACAACAACAAG